GUAGGGCGCGAGCGUUGUCCGGAAUUAUUGGGCGUAAAGAGCUCGUAGGCGGCUUGUCACGUCGGUUGUGAAAGCCCGGGGCUUAACCCCGGGUCUGCAGUCGAUACGGGCAGGCUAGAGUUCGGUAGGGGAGAUCGGAAUUCCUGGUGUAGCGGUGAAAUGCGCAGAUAUCAGGAGGAACACCGGUGGCGAAGGCGGAUCUCUGGGCCGAUACUGACGCUGAGGAGCGAAAGCGUGGGGAGCGAACAGGAUUAGAUACCCUGGUAGUCCACGCCGUAAACGGUGGGCACUAGGUGUGGGCAACAUUCCACGUUGUCCGUGCCGCAGCUAACGCAUUAAGUGCCCCGCCUGGGGAGUACGGCCGCAAGGCUAAA
rnacentral:rRNA from 1 species